UACGAAGGGGGGCUAGCGUUGCUCGGAAUCACUGGGCGUAAAGCGCACGUAGGCGGAUCUUUAAGUCAGGGGUGAAAUCCCAAGGCUCAACCUUGGAACUGCCUUUGAUACUGGGGAUCUCGAGUCCGGAAGAGGUGAGUGGAAUUCCUAGUGUAGAGGUGAAAUUCGUAGAUAUUAGGAAGAACACCAGUGGCGAAGGCGGCUCACUGGUCCGGUACUGACGCUGAGGUGCGAAAGCGUGGGGAGCAAACAGG
rnacentral:rRNA from 1 species